rnacentral:rRNA from 1 species
CUACGGGAGGCUCCAGUCAAGAACAUUGGACAAUGGACGAAAGUCUGAUCCAGCGACGCCGCGUGCGGGAUGACGGCCUUCGGGUUGUAAACCGCUUUUAUCGGGGAAGAAUCCGUCUUUUGGCGGAUGACGGUACCCGGUGAAUAAGGGGGCGCUAAUUCUGUGCCAGCAGCUGCGGUAAAACAGAACCCCCAAGCGUUACCCGGAUUUAUUGGGCGUAAAGCGUCUGUAGCCGGUUUGGAAAGUCUCAAGUUAAAUACCAUGAGCUCAACUUUUGGGAUGCUUGAGAAACUUCUAGACUAGAGGGCAUUAGGGGUUACUGGAACUCUUGGAGGAGGGGUGAAAUCCGUUGAUCUCAAGAGGAACACCGAAAGCGAAGGCAUGUAACUGGGGUGACCCUGACGGUGAGAGACGAAAGCGUGGGGAGCAAAAAGGAUUAGAUACCCGCGUAGUC